rnacentral:misc_RNA from 1 species
AACGCACAUUGCGCCCGCCAGUAUCCUGGCGGGCAUGCCUGUUCGAGCGUCAUUUCAACCCUCAGGCCCUGCCUGGUGUUGGGGACCUGCUGCCCGCAGCCCCCGAAAGACAGCGGCGGCGUCGACCCGGCUCCGAGCGUAGUAGCAUACGUCGCUCUGGGUGCCGGGCGGGCUCCUGCCGUGAGAACCCCCUAAUUCUCUUGGUUGACCUCGGAUCAGGUAGGAAUACCCGCUGAACUUAA